UACGUAGGGUGCAAGCGUUAUCCGGAAUUAUUGGGCGUAAAGAGCUCGUAGGCGGUUUGUCGCGUCUGCUGUGAAAACUGGAGGCUCAACCUCCAGCCUGCAGUGGGUACGGGCAGACUAGAGUGCGGUAGGGGAGAUUGGAAUUCCUGGUGUAGCGGUGAAAUGCGCAGAUAUCAGGAGGAACACCGGUGGCGAAGGCGGGUCUCUGGGCAACAACUGACGCUGAGGCACGAAAAGCGUGGGGGAGCAAACAGG
rnacentral:rRNA from 1 species